GACGAACGCUGGCGGCGUGCUUAACACAUGCAAGUCGAACGAUGAAGCCUAGCUUGCUAGGUGGAUUAGUGGCGAACGGGUGAGUAAUACGUGAGUAACCUACCUUUAACUCUGGGAUAAGCCUGGGAAACUGGGUCUAAUACCGGAUACGACCAAUCUCCGCAUGGGGUGUUGGUGGAAAGCGUUAUGUAGUGGUUAUAGAUGGGCUCACGGCCUAUCAGCUUGUUGGUGAGGUAACGGCUCACCAAGGCGACGACGGGUAGUCGGCCUGAGAGGGUGACCGGCCACACUGGGACUGAGACACGGCCCAGACUCCUACGGGAGGCAGCAGUGGGGAAUAUUGCACAAUGGGCGCAAGCCUGAUGCAGCGACGCCGCGUGAGGGAUGACGGCCUUCGGGUUGUAAACCUCUGUUAGCAGGGAAGAAGAGAGAUUGACGGUACCUGCAGAGAAAGCGCCGGCUAACUACGUGCCAGCAGCCGCGGUAAUACGUAGGGCGCGAGCGUUGUCCGGAAUUAUUGGGCGUAAAAAAUUUUAGGCGGUUGUCGCGUCUGCUGUGAAAGGCCGGGGCUUAACCCCGUUUAUUGCAGUGGGUACGGCACAACUAGAGUGCAGUAGGGGAGACUGGAAUUUCUGGUGAAGCGGUGGAAUGCGCAGAUAUCAGGAGGAACCACCGAUGGCGAAGGCAGGUCUCUGGGCUGUAACUGACGCUGAGAAGCGAAAGCAUGGGGAGCGACCAGGAUUAGAUACCCUGGUAGUCCAUACCGUAAACGUNGGGCACUAGGUGUGGGGGACAUUCCACGUUUUCCGCGCCGUAGCUAACGCAUUAAGUGCCCCGCCUGGGGAGUACGGCCGCAAGGCUAAAACUCAAAGAAAUUGACGGGGGCCCGCACAAGCGGCGGAGCAUGCGGAUUAAUUCGAUGCAACGCGAAGAACCUUACCAAGGCUUGACAUAUACUGGACCGCAUCAGAGAUGGUGUUUCCCUUCGGGGCUGGUAUACAGGUGGUGCAUGGUUGUCGUCAGCUCGUGUCGUGAGAUGUUGGGUUAAGUCCCGCAACGAGCGCAACCCUCGUUCUAUGUUGCCAGCACGUUAUGGUGGGGACUCAUAGGAGACUGCCGGGGUCAACUCGGAGGAAGGUGGGGAUGACGUCAAAUCAUCAUGCCCCUUAUGUCUUGGGCUUCACGCAUGCUACAAUGGCCGGUACAGAGGGUUGCGAUACUGUGAGGUGGAGCUAAUCCCUAAAAGCCGGUCUCAGUUCGGAUUGGGGUCUGCAACUCGACCCCAUGAAGUCGGAGUCGCUAGUAAUCGCAGAUCAGCAACGCUGCGGUGAAUACGUUCCCGGGCCU
rnacentral:rRNA from 1 species